rnacentral:rRNA from 1 species
AGUGAACGCUGGCGGCGUGCUUAACACAUGCAAGUCGAACGAGAACGGAUUAUAGCUUGCUAUACUUGUCAGCUAAGUGGCACACGGGUGAGUAGUGUAUAGGUAAUAUGCCUCUUACUACGGGAGAACAAACGGAAAAGUUUGCUAAUACCUUAUACUCCUUAUUAACAGAAGUUAGUAAGGGAAUGAUUUAUUGGUAAGAGAUUAGCCUGUAUUGUAUCAGUUAGUUGGUGGGGUAAUGGCUUACCAAGACUAUGACACAUAACUGGUUUGGGAGGAUGAUCAAUCACACUGGAACUGAGACACGGUCCAGACUCCUACGGAGGGCAGCAGUUGGGAAUAUUGCACAAUGGACGAAAGUCUGAUGCAGCAACGCCGCGUGGAGGAUGACACAUUUCGGUUCGUAAACUCCUUUUAUAUGGGAAGAUAAUGACGGUAUUAUAUGAAUAAGCACCGGCUAACUCCGUGCCAGCAGCCGCGGUAA